rnacentral:rRNA from 1 species
ACGCUGGCGGCGUGCCUAAUACAUGCAAGUAGAACGCUGAAGCUUGGUGCUUGCACCGAGCGGAUGAGUUGCGAACGGGUGAGUAACGCGUAGGUAACCUGCCUCUUAGCGGGGGAUAACUAUUGGAAACGAUAGCUAAUACCGCAUAAAAGACGAUAUCGCAUGAUGUUGAUUUGAAAGGUGCAAAUGCAUCACUAAGAGAUGGACCUGCGUUGUAUUAGCUAGUUGGUGAGGUAACGGCUCACCAAGGCGACGAUACAUAGCCGACCUGAGAGGGUGAUCGGCCACACUGGGACUGAGACACGGCCCAGACUCCUACGGGAGGCAGCAGUAGGGAAUCUUCGGCAAUGGGGGCAACCCUGACCGAGCAACGCCGCGUGAGUGAAGAAGGUUUUCGGAUCGUAAAGCUCUGUUGUAAGAGAAGAACGAGUGUGAGAGUGGAAAGUUCACACUGUGACGGUAACUUACCAGAAAGGGACGGCUAACUACGUGCCAGCAGCCGCGGUAAUACGUAGGUCCCGAGCGUUAUCCGGAUUUAUUGGGCGUAAAGCGAGCGCAGGCGGUUAGAUAAGUCUGAAGUUAAAGGCUGUGGCUUAACCAUAGUACGCUUUGGAAACUGUUUAACUUGAGUGCAGAAGGGGAGAGUGGAAUUCCAUGUGUAGCGGUGAAAUGCGUAGAUAUAUGGAGGAACACCGGUGGCGAAAGCGGCUCUCUGGUCUGUAACUGACGCUGAGGCUCGAAAGCGUGGGGAGCAAACAGGAUUAGAUACCCUGGUAGUCCACGCCGUAAACGAUGAGUGCUAGGUGUUGGGUCCUUUCCGGGACUCAGUGCCGCAGCUAACGCAUUAAGCACUCCGCCUGGGGAGUACGACCGCAAGGUUGAAACUCAAAGGAAUUGACGGGGGCCCGCAC